UUCCCCAAUUUUGGGUCAUCUGCAAACUUUAAUCAGUGAUGAUUUUAUGUUUUCUUCCAGAGCACAGAUGGGACAUUGUCUAGAUAAAAUUCUGUUUUUCCCUUCACUAGUUAUAUCUAUUACUAAUAUCACCACCAUGGACUAUUAACUCUCAAAAACCAUUUUGAAAUCCAAUAUAAAUUUUUCACCGUUUGUUUACUUUUUGCAAUUCACUGAAGCACAAAACAGUGAAACUCUAUAGGUCUGUCAAUUUAACUUUCAGGUACUCAAGCACAAGAAGUGUGCUGAGGUGUUUGGGUUCCAUUCAUUGCAUGGGAAUGGCUAAAGGCCAAAAACAGAGUUCUCUGCAAUUUAUUUAAUCAAAUCAAUCAAUCCUCUCUGGUAAAGCUGAGUUUUGAAAAGCUUUCAAAAAAAUCUAACUAAAGCUAGAUGUUGAUCAAAGAAUUUGACAUAGGCUUUUUCCCAUUACAUAAUCAUAGAAAAUGAAAAAGCAAUUUUACAAAUUCUUGUUAAACAAAAUUAAAGAAAUGUGAAAGUCAUCAAAAAUCUUUCUUACUUGCAAUAUUUUAUUGUCAUCUACUGCAAGACGUUGUAAUAAUGGAAACAUUUUAGUCUUGUAUCCUAGGAAAAGGAGAAUAAAUUUAAAAGACAUCAGUGAAGAUCUAAAUAUAGAAAUAUAAUACAGUACUUAUUUUACUUACCAAAUCCAACAUCAGGAAAGUGUAUAGAAGAAAUUCCAGUGUUUGAAAGAAUUAGUUGUUCUAAUCUGAAAUUUAGAAGUUAAAGUAUGUCUGUUAAAAAGAUUUUGGUAAAAAUACUGAAGUUUUUACCUAAUACAACCCAUGUUAACUUUCUGACAGCAAGCCUUGUGAUUUAAAGAACAUUGUUAAAACUUCACAGCUGGUAACCAAGUUUAAAAGGCAGUUUACAGAAGGACAGCAGUGGAGUUCCAAGCUUUCAAAAUGGCAGCUUGCUUUGGAGAUGGAAGGAGAGAAGACAGGAAAAAUCUUGUGGGAUCCUUUCAUCUCCAUGGCUAAAAGACAAGAGCUGCCAGCCAAUUAAACAUUCUUGGCUACAUGACCACCUAUAAAAAUCUUCUCUGGUUGACUGCAUCCCAAUUAGAAUAGUAAUCCAUUCAGUGUGUUGCCCAACCUCAUUUCCCAGAAUCAGAUGGAAGGGAAUAUAGGAAGGGAAUGGUCAUAUGCAGUUAUUUAAUGCAUUUAACAACAACUGGCAUUAUGUAUCCACUACCAAAGAAUUGCCCCUCUAAAUCAGGAGCAAUCUCCAAAGCUCCUUAUCAUAGGAAGCCCAUAUAGGUUUUAAGAGCUAGUUGUCCUGAAAAGGGUUUUCUCUGGGAUAUGGCCCUAUAAUUACAAUAUCUGAACUUCAAACUGUUGUGUUUAAAAAUAAAAAACAAAAAACCACCCACACACUAAUUCCAUAAAUAUCUUAAUAAAAACAUGCUUUAAUUAAAUCUUAAAAUAAAAUUAAAUCCUUCCCCAGAUUAUGUUAAAUAGUUCAGAUACUCUUCACAAAAACAGCAAAAAAAACCUUAAUUUUCAAAAUUCUGUAACCUUCACUACCAAGGCAAUAUUAUCAUGCUUCAAACCACUAAGGAUAUGUGAAUGAAUCAAUUUACAGAGCAUGACAAAAUUUUCAGUAAAAGUUCUUUAACAAUUACCUGGGAAGAUAUGCUAUUAGCUGCAGUUGACUUCCAUCAAUUAAUUGGUUGUUUGAAAGGUCUAAUAAUUUCAAGGUCUGCAGAACGUUAAUGGGUCUGUAAGCAUUACAAAAAAUGCAAUUAUGUUUUUAAAUUGUUUUAAAAUAUUUACACUCAUAUACACACAACUGUAUAAUAAAAUCAGUGCAUUCACACAAGUAUCCCAGAUCACACAGUAUGUUAAAAUCUCCUUUGCAAUAUUACCAUGGUAAUGGUAAUUUAACCCAUGACUGGAAUUUAGUUUAAUUUUUAUCAGACAUGUCAUAACUUUAUGCAUACAGUAUAUUAAUCACAAAAGGACGACUUUAGCAUUUAAAGCUAAACCUCAUACCUUUCUAAAACUGGAAUAUCAUUGGAAGCAAGGUACAAUUCUUCAAGUGCUGGCCACCCUGGAGCACACAGAAGAACCUAAUAGGAAAACUUUGUUUAGUAUUAGUAGUAUAACUGUAUACAAGUCAGAAUCUGUGCAUCAUAUACAUUUUACUUCAAACACAUUCAAAGUAUGCCAUAACUAUCUAGAAUACUGUUUAUUUCAGGUUUCAGAGUAGCAGCCAUGUUAGUCGGUAUCCGCAAAAAGAAAAGGAGGACUUGUGGCACCUUAGAGACUAACAAAUUUAUUUGAGCAUAAGCUUUCGUAUUUUAUUUCAGUAACUCUUCCUAUUUAAUUGCAACUAUGCCUCUGAUCCUGUAUGUCAUCUGCAGUACAGAUAGAUGGUAGUCAUUAGGAUUCCACACAGCCACAGGAUUCACUGUUACUGGACUGGAAUCCAUAUUUCAAAAAGAAAAGGCAAGGGAACCGACAACAUUGUCAUUUAAAUUGUAACUUUAGGAUAGUGUCACCCCAUCUUCCCCCAUUCUGUGAACCACCAUUUUCCAUUUGGAUUUUCAUGUUUGGUUUACAAAAUCAAGAACUUGGGAAAACUAAGAUUAGCUAAACAAGGCUUUUUCUAAGAUACAGGGCUCUGAAAAGUCUCCACUGUUUUCAGUGGAACUAUGCCAAAUUAGCUUAGCCUAGAAACCUCAAUAUUUUAUUUUAGUCCUGGAUGGGAUCUAAUGCACAGUAUUAUUUCUGAUAAAGGUAGGUUGACAAUUUAAUCUAUCACUUUUAGGUCAGGCUUAUGCUAGGGAAAACGCCCACUGCUGAUAUCCCUCGGCAGCAACAGGUCAUCUUCCUAGUGUACACAAGGUGUAAGACGAGAGUAAUUAACGGGAAAAGCAAUUUGCACGUUUCCAUGCAUGGAAACAACUCAGACUUUCAUUUUCCUAUGUUGUAUCUGAGUUCAUAGAAAUAGGCUCUAUACUACCAGAUGUUUGUCUGCUCCUUUAUAAAUACAAGCAUAUUAAAACACCUACUAUACAAAGUGAUGCCAGAACCACAUUUCAUAAAGAAUCUCAAUAUGGUUAUAUCAAAGUGGGUCAGUCACAUAAAAAUAACUUUAAAAAAAAGUCAGUGUUCUGAUCUAUAUUAGAAAAGUUGCACCAGUAUAACAAACUGAAAAUCAGUUUACACAAACACACACCUCUAAUGCAGACACAUUAGAACCAGGUUAAACUUCAGAUAAACUAAACUAUUUAAUUCAGUAAUUUACCAACUUACCAAUUUAACCUGGUUUAAGUGCGUCCGCAUCAGGGUUUCAUGCCAGCGUAACAAGAAUUUUAGAGUGAUUUAAUUAUACCGGUGCAUUUUCUCUCUAAUAUAGAUUAGACUCAAUUUUGGAAGAUUGUAUGAUCGAGUGUAACACCCAUACCACUAAGUGUAAGCCCUUAUUAUGUUUUUACUGACCCAUGUAACCAAAUGAUUAACAAAUAAAAACAAAUUUACUUCAUAAAUGUAAGAAGCGCAUUACCUCUGCCCAUGUUACUCCAGUUCGAUUAAGUGCCAGAACCCUCAAUUUACUAAGUGUACAGAUUAUAGAAGCAGAUGGAAAUUUCAUCUUGUUUUGACUGUAUAAAAAGAAUAAAUAGGUUCUUAUUUCUACAGCAUAAAAACUCAAUUAUUCAACUAAAUCACCAAUUUAGAAUUUCAUAUUUCAAAACAAAAAGGAACACAUAGGAUUACAUGCCAUUAAAGAGAGGCACAUUGUCAAGGACUUUGUAUAUUUAAAUAUUUUCCAACCUAUUUAGAAAAAUGCCUUGGUAGUUUGAGUACAAAUUCUUUCCUUGCAAUUAGUUAAAGUACUGAAUUCCUUGCAAUUUAGUUAGUUUAAGUUCUGAAGCUGAAGGGGUUAGUUUAAGUACCGAAGCAUUAAGGUGGGAAAAAGGGAAUUAUUUAUUUUGUUACCAGAAAGAAAAGUGACAAGUCAAAUUUUGGGCCCAUCCCCUUGACACUGUAUCUUUAGAAACAGAUUAAAAUGAGGGUUGCAGCAGGAAAUUCUUAAAGAGAUUCAUUUUAUGACAAAAUGCCAUAGAGAUUACCAGACCUACCCCACUUAAUGCUCCAGUAAAGGAUCUACAUUAAUUUGUCAUUUUGUUAAAAAUGUUUUUAUUGUUAGCAGCUAGACUUUGUAUUGUACACUAUUGGAAAAAUGCAACUCCUCCUAUGAAAUAGCGGUAUAAUAGAAUAUGGACUCUUCUUGUAAUGGGAAAGCUUUCACACCAGAUAUGUACACAAGAGAAGCACCAAAAAGAAGAUAGGUAUUUAGAAACUUAGCCACCCUUUUUAGUGUACUGAGAACAGGAGGACUCCCCUAUCAGCAAUCCAGAAUCUUUAGCCAGGUCCUUUCAAUACCCUGUAAGAACCGUAAGCACGGCUAUACCUGGUCAGACCACUGGUCCAUAUAGCUCAAUAUCCUGUCUGAAGCACCUGGUAUUGGCCAUUGUCGGAAGAGGGAAUGAAUAGAACAGCUAAUUAUCAAGUGAUCCAACCCGUCAUCCAUUCCCAGCUUCUGGCAAACAGAGGCUAGGGACACUUUAGAACAUAGUUUUGCAUCCUGAAUAACUAAUAAGUAAUGUUCAGUGUAGUAUGCUAAGGUUUUAUUUUAAAUUUGCCAUAAUAAAAACAUUUUUUUUUUUAAAGAUUAGAACUAAAUCUUAUGCAUAAAUGCCAGAACAUUGAUAAAAUAAGGAUUUUAAGGACUCAGUGCCACAGAAAAAUGCUAGGUUUCAGAGUACAGCCGUGUUAGUCUGUAUUCGCAAAAAGAAAAGGAGUACUUGUGGCACCUUAGAGACUAACAAAUUUAUUAGAGCAUAAGCUUUCGUGAGCUACAGCUCACUUCAUCGAAUGCAUCCGAUGAAGUGAGCUGCAGCUCACGAAAGCUUAUGCUCUAAUAAAUUUGUUAGUCUCUAAGGUGCCACAAGUACUCCUUUUCUUUUUGAGAAAAAUGCUGACAUUAAAGAGCUUAUACAUGGUGCCAUAGUGUCCUUAAACUAACUCUAGGUCCUAUUUCCCUCCAAACAUUUCUUUCCUCUGGGCUUGUAUACAGAGGGAAAAUUACCAGAAGAGCUAGGUCAGUACAGCAGUAUAGAUAUGUAGGUAAAUAGCCCCAUGUAGACAAGCACUUAGAGAUUUGAUAGCAGGCUUCCCCAGUUUUCAUCUACUCAUCGUCCCCGCACCAUAACUGUUUAUACUACAAUUGUGUAUCUACUUCCAACGUUUGUUU